CUCCUAUAAAUAACAUGCAAUGUCCAAACACAAUUUUAGUUCUCUAAAAUCAAUUUGUGAAGACUAAUUUUUCCAUUUUUCCUCUGUUUGGGUUCAAGGUUCAUAUGGCCAUGGUGGAGUUAAGAAACUUACUCUGGAGAGGGAAUAAGUGAAGCUGCCAGCAUGAUCUAACCUGGGUUAGACUUUGAAUGUAAAAGUUCAAAAGAAAAUGAUGAGAAAAUGCUAACCCUAGCUUGGUCAUGCUCCGGCAGUUUCACUCGUUCUUCUACGGAGAUUCAAACAAACAAGUUCCAAUUUUGUGGACUUUCAAAAGAUAGUAUAGCUGGAAUACAUUAGGAGAAGUCACUGAGACUAUCUAUACGUAUAUUCCAGUUUUGUUCUAUUCUGGGAAAGUUCUUGCUCUGACUGUGCUCUUCAUUUCUGCAUAAAAAUGCUCAGAAAAGUCUAAAAUCAAAUAAUUAUUCUUGAUUAUCGAAAUCCCCUUUGAAUUUGGAUAUAUUUGAUCAAAUACUAUCUUCUUUUUGUGAUUUCAGGUCCAGGUUUUGUGCUUGAAAAUAGAAGGGAAAAAUAAGAAGAAUGCAAGAUGGACGGCGCUGUACUGUAUCGAUCAGUUGUGUGGUGUAUUGUAGUAUUUUACUAUUUUUGUAACGUGAAGAGAAUUAAGACAGAAAUUUUGUUUAUUUUCGGGUUUUUCCAUGUUUACAAGUAGUUGGAUUAGAACGAAUUACCAAGCAUUGUGAUUUGAAAGAGCUGUACGCAGUGCUAGGUAUCAAAAGUAAACAUGUAUGAAUUAAGUUCAAGUUAGUAGCCCAUGUACGACUCUCUUAAUUAUUUCGACUUUUAUUUUUAUUUUUAAUUUUAGUAAUUAUUUUCAAUUACAAAUAAAAU
rnacentral:lncRNA from 1 species